GAUGAACGCUGGCGGCGUGCCUAACACAUGCAAGUCGUACGAGCUCGAUCUUCGGAACGGGUUAGUGGCGCACGGUGAGUAACACGUAGGUGACCUACCCCAGAGUGGGGAUAACUUCUCGAAAGAGAGGCUAAUACCGCAUACACUCGGUCAUUCAUUUGGCCGAGCAAAGCUCCGGCGCUUUGGGACGGGCCUGCGUCCGAUUAGCUAGUUGGUAGGGUAAUGGCUUACCAAGGCUUUGAUCGGUAGCUGGUCUGAGAGGACGAUCAGCCACACUGGGACUGACACACGGGCCAGACUCCUACGGGAGGCAGCAGUGAGGAAUAUUGGGCAAUGGGCGAAAGCCUGACCCAGCAACGCCGCGUGAGGGAUGAAGGCCUUCGGGUUGUAAACCUCUUUUCUGGGAGAAGAGACAAGGACGGUAUCCCAGGAAUAAGUCUCGGCUAACUACGUGCCAGCAGCCGCGGUAAU
rnacentral:rRNA from 1 species